AGCUUUGCACAGUGCCAGUCUCGUAGCCAAUGUGGUUAAUCCGAGGUGUGAUUAUUGCUAAUUGAAAACUUUUCCCAAUACCCUGCCAUGACGACUUGAAAUAUAGUAAGCAUUGGCAAUUUUUGACAGUCUCUAUGGAAU
rnacentral:snRNA from 1 species